UACGGAGGGUGCGAGCGUUAAUCGGAAUUACUGGGCGUAAAGCGCGCGUAGGUGGUUUGAUAAGCGAGAUGUGAAAGCCCUGGGCUUAACCUGGGAACUGCAUUUCGAACUGUCAGGCUAGAGUACAGUAGAGGGAGGUAGAAUUUCCGGUGUAGCGGUGAAAUGCGUAGAGAUCGGAAGGAAUAUCAGUGGCGAAGGCGGCCUCCUGGACUGAUACUGACACUGAGGUGCGAAAGCGUGGGGAGCAAACAGG
rnacentral:rRNA from 1 species